rnacentral:rRNA from 1 species
UUAAUGGAGAGUUUGAUCCUGGCUCAGGACGAACGCUGGCGGCGUGCUUAACACAUGCAAGUCGAACGGAGUUUAAGUUGAAACCUAGUGAUACUUAAACUUAGUGGCGGACGGGUGAGUAACGCGUGGAUAACCUGCCUGAUAGCCUGGGAUAACAGCUGGAAACGGCUGCUAAUACCGGAUACGCUAAUUGGAAUGCAUGUUCUAAUUAGGAAAGAUUAAUCACUAUCAGAUGGAUCCGCGUCCCAUUAGCUAGUUGGUGGUGUAAUGGACCACCAAGGCGACGAUGGGUAGCCGGCCUGAGAGGGCGAACGGCCACACUGGGACUGAGACACGGCCCAGACUCCUACGGGAGGCAGCAGUGGGGAAUCUUCCGCAAUGGGCGAAAGCCUGACGGAGCAACGCCGCGUGAGGGAAGAAGGCCUUCGGGUUGUAAACCUCUGUUUUCAGGGACGAACAAAUGACGGUACCUGAAGAGAAAGCUCCGGCUAACUACGUGCCAGCAGCCGCGGUAAUACGUAGGGAGCAAGCGUUGUCCGGAUUUACUGGGCGUAAAGGGCGCGUAGGUGGUUCAUUAAGUUAGAGGUAAAAGUUCGGGGCUCAACCCCGUGAUGCCUCUGAUACU